GAAGAAGAAGAAGAAGAAGAGGGUGAAUAAAUGCCAGAAGCAGCAGUAGCAGCAACCAUAGCCAAGCAUCCUUCACUCCAGGCUCGUCUGAUCGGGUACGAGACGGACUUAUGUUUAGACAUGGAGUGGGAACAGCGUCUGUUAUCUCGAUCGUGAAGGGCGCAGGUGCAGUUCUUGUGGUAAGGACGGCGGUCGAUCUCGGCGUCGCAGCCGACGAUGCAACCGUGGUAGACGGAUCUGAGUAAGGCGUCGGCCAUGGAGUCGUCGUCGCCCGUCGGAAUGGCCGUUGCCGGAGGAGGAUG
rnacentral:misc_RNA from 1 species